AGUUUGCGAACUCGUUUUCUAUUUCUCAUCUUCCUCCAAAACCCACUUUUGAAAAUCUUACAGAUCGAACUUCAACCCUGACAAAUCGAAGACAAAUCCUAACCCCAACUCAAAAUCAAAACCCAUGUAUUAGAUCUAAAAGAAAAUUCCUCUUUUGUAACCUAGAUUUAACCAAAAACAAACCAUCGUCUCAUUUCAGCUCUCUCGUUUUUUGUAUGAGAGGGAGAUUAAUAUCCAGCAUAUCCAUACAAUCCUCAUCACCGAAUCAAGCCUGAUUUCAAAACUUAAUCCUAACCGCAUCUUUGAAUCAGAACCCAUCUUAGAAUCAGAAUUUUAUAUCCCCUAAUUUUGUAACCCUAAAUCUAGUUAAUUUUUCUCCUGAAAUCAAAGGAAACCAAGUUUCAUAUUCGACAGAGCUGAGAGUACAAGAAGAAUGGUUUACCAGUUUUGUGGUGUUGCAUAGAGUUGAUGGCGUGGGUAAUUUUGUGGUGCUAGCAGACGUUGGUGGUGUGGUUUGUGCUACAGAUUUUCGGAGUUAGUUGGUGUGAUGUAUUUGUUUGUGAUGAAACCCUUGGAUCUGUUAUGAGAAUGGGUAGUGGUGGUGGUGAUGCAUGUAGAAGCUGGUGGUGAUUUUUGCUUGUUGUUGUAGUUAGUGGCCAUUAAAGAUUCAUCUUUUGAAACUGAGACAAGAAGAAUAGUUCAAGGCACAAUCUUUGGCUAAUCGGCAUAAUCGUUGGCUAAUCCUUUCGAGUAUGUACAAUACAUAGAGGAGCAUCGAUAGAAGAAGUUGGAGGAACAACGCGGAUCUUGGAUUACAAAGAAACUACCCAGAUUACCCAAAGUGAAUCCAAAACUUGCUGAGAAAUUUCUUUUCGAUGGAGAAGCUAAAGAAGACAACGUGGAAGUGGAUGAACAUUUUGAUCGUAUCUUAAAAACGAGUUCUCAGGGUUUAGCCUAAUAUAUAUUUCUUGUUGUUUGUCAUGUUUACCUGACACUCAUAGACCAAGUCACAACAUCAUUUCCUUGGUGGUUGAACAAUUGCAUCAUAUCCUAGAAAUAUCCCUUUCUAGACACUUCUGUUGUUAUGUGUAUAAGGCCUAGGCACAGCAUAUACGCUACUACUAAUACCAACAUAACCUGUUGAUAUACCAUCUUGUAUUCCAGUUAGGAAAAGACAACAACUAGGCAUUAAUCAAUGGUGUAAAUAGAGUCAGCCUCUUCUAUCCUAACCUUUUGUGGCAUAAGUCAUUUAGAGUAACAGUGUACUUUGGUUUAUUUUCAGGAUUCUGAAGUUGAGGAGCAACCCAAGAGCACCUACAUCUACAUCCAAUGCCUUCCAGAAAGAGGAAGCCCCAACAAUUGGAUCAUUUUCAGUUGGUUUAUAUGUGAACAUUUUCUACCAGUUGAAUCAUUGGAUGAUGAGUUGAAUAAAGACAAAAGAAAGAAAGCACAGACUGUAUGAAGUGAAGGACGAAUGUCAUGCAGAUGCAUUCGUCAAUAAUCAUUCACCUGCGAAUGAGGAUAUACUUCUUAUUGUGUACGGCGUCGAAAACAAACACCAUAACAUGUCUUUGGAGGUGAUGGUGGUCGUGGGGAGUUGUAUGCAUAUGGUGGAGGUGGCAGUGGUGAUGGUGGUGGUGAGGAAUUGUAUACAUAUGGAGCAGGUGGUGACUGUGAUGGUGAAGGUAUGUAGGUGCAGGAGAUUGACGAUGGUUGAGGUGGGGAUUUGUAUAGGUGUGGUGGAGGAGGUGAUGGUGAAGGUAGCAGUGGUGAGUCUGAUGACUUAUAGUGGUAUGAGGCGGGUACUGGUGAUGGUUUUGGCAGUGACCUGUAGUAGUAUUGGGGUGGGUGGUGUUGGUGACUUGUAGUGCUCAUCAAAUUGACAUGGAAUCUUCGUGAAAAGAUCAGAGCUAUCAUAUUCAUAUUGGUUGUAUGUGAUUAGUCAUAUAAUGGAUAGCCAAUGAUGCAGCUAAGCUUAUGGAGAUGAAAGCAUGCUCGUGAUGCUAAAUACCUACACAAUCCCCAGUAGAGGAGACACGCAAGAAGAUUUGUCUUAUCCCAAAGGGAUUGAUGGACUCUUGUAAGGAGUUGCUCCAGCACUUCAAGAAGCCUUGGGCUCAUGAGCAUGAACCUGUUAAGGAACUUAUAGAUGCUUUCUAGGCAAUCAAACCAACGGUAUUGAUAGGGUCUUCUGGAGUAGGACAAACAUCUGCAAAAGAAGUAGUUGAGGCCAUGGCUUCCUUUAACGAGAAACCAUUGAUAAUUUUCUAACCUGAUCUAAGGAGGGAGUUCACCGCAGUCUAUUGUUCAGGUAUAGGAUAUAUACUUGAUCCAGACUUUUCACUUGUGAAAUUGUGACCCGUCAUGCACAAGUAAGUUAAUUGACAAAGGAAAUUGGAUAAGGAGGGUCCUGUCACCGUAGGUGUAACUUCAGGUGCUUCCACCCAAGAUAAAAAAAGAUGGUAUGAAGCUGGUAAUGUUAUGGAUACAUUGGUUCAUUACAUCAUGUCAUUGUGCUAAGUGCAGAAAAAGAAUCAAGGUACCUUGUGCCAUCUAAGUUUGUUGUUCAAGUUAAGAGUAUGGUUAGAGGCUAGUUGAAACUUGGUCAAGUCCUGUACUGUGCCAACAUCACACACACUGCCACUGUUUUCUUGUUGAUCUAAUCACUAAAGCUAGGGCCAAGUGCUGUGAACAUAUUUGGAGCAACCUAGUAACAGUAGCUUUAUAAUUUUCUUAUAUUUCAGAAUGGAUGUCUAUUGUGCAUAUUUGAAUCAAGUUCAUAAUGUUGUAAAAUGUGGUAAGAACGAGUCAUGGUCUUAUCAGGUCAGGGUUCUAUAUUAUUUAUUAUACUGGAAUUUUGAAAAUGCCAAUAUAGAUUUUGUAAUUUUAUUUUAUUUUUAA